AUGUGGGUGAGGCCCGGGGAGCUGGGGGUUUGGCUGCACCCCUGUCACUGCAGCCUGGGGCCCUGCGUUUCCUCUGGAAAAGCUGCUCCCUGUUUCACCAUCUCCUCUCAGUCUGAGUCCCAGCGAGUCUGCACAGGCGUCUGCUGGGCUGGACAGGCCGUGAAAUCUGGCAGCUGGGAGGUUUGCAGUAGUUUCUAACCUUCCCUCCCCUGCUUCUUCCAGGAGGUACCACAAAAGCAUCUGGCCCCUCUGGGAAAAGAGAGAGAAGGAGCCAAAGCGGAGGAGGAGAGCGGCAAAGCGAGGAGCUGCUGAUCUGGUCGCCCCAUCUCUGAAAAGAUACAUUGGAAUUUGAAAAGGCCCAGAGAAGGCCAACAAAAUGAUGAAGGGUGUGGAACAGCUUCCGUAUGAGAAACAGACAGAAGCUGAGAGGCAGAAGAUUGUCUGGGAGUGGAAGGAGCUGCGAGGGUUU